rnacentral:lncRNA from 1 species
GCUGCCAACUUGGGGCUUCCUGGACUUCACAAACUCAGGAGGUCUGAGCUCAGUGACACCCUGCAUCGCCCCUGCUCCCUGGGCUCCUGCCCUGAACCACAGCUCCCUGCUUGAUGAAGAAGGGUCAGCCACCUCAAGGUUCACUUCCGGGCAGAGGCCACAUCUGUUAGGAAAGAAAAUAGAUGAAAAGCAUAGUUAGCAAGUGCCUGCUGUUGGCCAGGCACCGAGCUAGGAGGUGUCUUAUUCCUGUGUCAUCUUAUUUCAUCAUGUAAAUGGCCCUGUGAGGCAGAGAUGGUUGUUUGAAUUAUACAGAAGGAGAAACACAGAGUCAGAAAGAUGAAGAAACUUGCUGAAGAUUGUAUUGUGUUCCAGUGGUCUCCAAACUGGGGUAGGUCCACUCUAGUGAAGGUCCCUGGUUAAUUCCUGCUGAUUAAGCACUAACCACAUGAGACUCAUCCAGCUGGCCAGUUUCCAGAUGAAACUGUGGUGGGUAAAUUCUUUGGAAAAGAAAAUGGAGUCCAUUUCCACAUGACCACACCUCCCCUGCAGCUAGGUAAGAUCAUGUAAUGGAAUUCUGGCCAAUGGAAUAUGAGUGGAGUUAAUGUGGGUAACCUCCAUGAUGGGCAAAGAAACACCUCCCAGGAAAAAGUCUUGAUUUUUCCUCAUGUCUGCUGACUACAUAUCGACUCUUGAAUAGACUUGAGUAUCUGCUGUUGAAGGAUGCAGAGGCUCUGUCAGCCUGGGCCCCUGAGUGACUUCAUGGAGUAUACCAUCUCUCCAACUGGAUUUUAUCUUUCAGUGGUUCAGUUUUUCUCCACUGUUUCCACCAAAAUACCAUCAACAGUAAGGAAGAACAAUGUGGACCACCAGAAGGCUGGAGUGUUUUCUGAAGCUGCUCCUGCUUGGACUUUGGUUGGAAGUCGUGAUUGUCUGAGGGUUCAUGCUGGCGCUCCCCCAGUGAACCUAGCUCACCUACCCUCUGCUCUGGCUCUAGUCUCUCUUCCCUUCUUCUAAGGGAGGCUACUGCUGUGCUCAGUGCGGAGCUGGGUUCAAGGAGAGCUGGGGCUCUGAAGGAGUCGUGGGGAGAAGGCUGACAUGAGUCCUGAGUGAGUGGACCUGCUCUCUCUGGCCCUGAAGGGGUCAAGAGGCAACUGGGUGUGUGGGCUGAGUCUUUCCUGGCCCUGAAGCUGGAAGUAGAGGCUUUGUGCAGGAUCCUCAGCAGGGGACUAAAAGCCUGUGCUUUCAUAACCCGAGCCACACUGGCAAGUGCGCUGCCUCCUCCCACCUUUGAGACAGUUGCCUUCAGGAGCACAUCUACCAGAAGCCAACAAAGAAAAGCAACAGCCUCUUGGAGGGGCCUUUCUCCAGGGAGAGAAGGGUGAGGCAGCACAGGCAGAGCUGGUGUAGGAGACACAAGACAGUAUGAAUUUCAAAAUCAGAGCAUUGAAGGAGAUUCAAAUAUGGCACAAAAAGAGUUUCUGGAGCUAAAAAUCAUAAUUUCCUAACUAAAUACCAUUCAGUAGAUUAACUGAAAAAGUGGAAGAUCACCGUGAAGAUAUGGUCAGCUCUCCUGGAGGGUCAAAGGGCAGACAGACCCCUUGAUGAAAAGGGUGGUAUAGAGCAAAUGUAGAAAGAGAUGGGAAGCAAGUAGAAAUGGGUAAGGAACAUGGGAUGGAUCCUAAAACCUUGACUUGUGAAUAGAGAAACCUUGACUUGCAGAAAGAGGAAAAAAUAGAACCAACGGAGGAGAGGUGACCAUGAUACUAACAAUAAAAGAAAACUUCCCUGAAC